rnacentral:misc_RNA from 1 species
GACCGUCUCGUUGGUGUAUGUGUGGCGUGUGCUGUGGGGAAUGUAAAUAAAAAUUGUUAUUAGAUUGGUAUUAUGCAUCACAAUCGCAUAGAUACUAUGGCUGCCUCACAAAAAUUUUGCCUGAAGUGGAACAACUUCCAGAACAGUGUAACCUCAGUGUUUGACAGCCUGCGGCAAGAUGAAGAACUGGUGGACAUUACAUUGUGCUGUGAGGGGAGAAAGAUAAAGGCGCACAGGAUGAUGCUGUCAGCAUGCAGUCCUUAUUUCAGGGAUCUCUUCAAGGACAAUCCAUGCCAACACCCCCUGUUCUUCUUGAAGGACACUUCAUAUGUAGACAUUGCAGCUGUGAUAGAGUUUGUGUACAAAGGAGAAGUGAAUGUGCUCCAAAGUCAGUUGGCAAGUUUCCUGAAGACAGCAGAGCUGCUCCAGGUCAAAGGACUCUCAGGGGAUGAAGAGGAAGACCAGGCACCCAGGUCUCAGCCGCCGGACCGGUCCCGCUUACCGUCCGGCCCGCCGCCGCCGCCGCCGCCGGUGCGCCAGCGGCCCCGCGAGUCGGCCGAGCCGCCCGCCUCGCCGCGGCUCAAGCGGCGCCGGCUCUCUGGCUCCUCGGGCAGCCGGCCGGGCUCUCCGUCAGCGGUGAGCGCCGCCCCGCCGCCGCCAGCAGCCGCCGCGGGGCCGCGCGACCCGGCCGCGGACGUGAUGGCCGGACCGCCGUGCGCCGCCCUACCGCCACCACCGCCGCCCGUGUCGGGCGCGGCUUUGGCGGAGCCGCCCCCGCCGCAGCACGAACCUCCGCCGCCGCCCCAGCCGGCGGCCGGCCGACAGGACUAUGGCAUCAAAGUGGAGAAAAUAGACAUUGCGGACGAUGACGAUGACGUUAGUUUAGAGGCCACACUGGGCCAGGUGUCGACGUUUGAGGCGUCCCAGUUCGAUGGGUCAGACCACUCGGCGAGCUCCCACGAUAUGAGCGGGCUUCUCUCCGGACUUUCCGACAGAGUCGGCGACGUGUUAGCUCCAUCGGCGUCGGCAGAGGACGGCUCAGCACAAGGUCACGUCAUUGCCGGGCUGCAGUGCUCAGUCUGCCACAAGACUUUCAAGAGUCAGAACUCUCUGAGGAACCAUCGAGCUCUGCACGAGGGUCGCACAGUGUGCAACGUCUGUGGGAAGGUGUUCAGCACCCUCUCCAAUCUAUCGGAACAUCGGCGCGUGUUCCACAGAAGCUGGAGAUCCGGCGAGGAGCCGCCGCUUCCGUAAUCCACAGAUGAACUGCCAACCGCAAAACUUUGUGUCGGAGGCCUGGAGUUCCGCGUGGUGACGCCAUUGCCGGGCUGCGCUGCUCAGUCUGCCACAAGAUCUUCAAGAACCGCGACUCUUUGAGGAAGCACCGGGCGCUGCACGAGGGCCGAACCGUUUGUGGUAUUUGUGGCAAGGCGUACAGCACGCUUUC